rnacentral:lncRNA from 1 species
CUGCUGAAAUUUACCCCAAGGAACUUACUUUAAAUAAAUCAAAUUUAUUCGGUAAUAACUGUCCUUUCCUGGAUUUAGAUAUUUCGGUUUUAAACGGGAAACUCCACACUAAAAUUUACAACAAAAGAGACGAUUUUUCGUUCCCUAUUGUUAAUUUUCCAUUUUUAGAUGGUGAUGUUCCUUUGGCACCAUCUUACGGUGUUUAUAUUUCACAACUUGUUCGCUAUGCCCGUGUCUGUUGUGACGUUUUUUAUUUUAACGAACGCAACCUAUGUAUUACUGGUAAAUUAUUAAACCAGGAAUAUCGUUACCAUAAAUUACUAAAAACCGUUACUAAAUUUUUCCAUAGAUAUAAAGAUUUGGUUUUGAAGUUUGGUUGUACCUGUAGAAAACUUAUUUCAAACGGGAUAGCACAUCCUCAUUUUUACGGAAGUGUUGUUAACCGUGCCCGGAAAUUUA